rnacentral:piRNA from 1 species
UGUUCAAACCAAACAGAACAGAC